UACGUAGGGGGCAAGCGUUGUUCGGAUUUACUGGGCGUAAAGCGCGUGUAGGCGGUGCGUUAAGUCAGCCGUGAAAGCCCUAGGCUUAACCUAGGAAAGUCGGCUGAUACUGACGUGCUAGAGUGCAGAAGGGGCAACUGGAAUUCUCGGUGUAGCGGUGAAAUGCGUAGAUAUCGAGAGGAACACCGGUGGCGAAGGCGAGUUGCUGGUCUGACACUGACGCUGAGACGCGAAAGCUAGGGGAGCAAACAGG
rnacentral:rRNA from 1 species